AAGUAAUACAAAAAACAUGAGACUAGACAAGGACACAAGAGGCUAAGCAGGGAAGCUAAGGCAGAGGAGGAGGAGGAGAAAAGUGCGACUGCCUUCGCCGAGAGCACGAGAGAAGGUAACGGACUAUUUUCCUGAGGUUGACAAGUUUAUUCAGUUUGUGACGACAAUACAGAAAGUUGUUGGUGUGGAUCUCCUGGACGAGAAGAAGUGAUAUCAUUUAAGUAACCAUGUUACUAAUUUAAGACAGGGGAAAAGAGCAGGUAAAACUCAUUUGAGGAAAAAGUAAAAUCUUUAUUAAUCGCAAGAUGGUCAGCCAUCACUCUGUGUUUCUUAUAUACUUUUUCUUCUUCGCUGCUUUUCUACCUUCUCCGAAAAUGGAAAAUCUAAAGGUGGCCUCUUUGAAUAUAAAUCAAACUGUCACAGAUUAUUAGGCAGAGGACUCACUCGCAGCAGUCUGAAGUUUAGAGAGACGGUGAGGGUUUAUUUACAGUGUGGCGCCAAGUGAGAAUAUCUACAUAUAUACAGUGAGACAGAUAACACGGGGCUCCAGGGGGUGGAGUGGGGUCCGAGGGGAAGGUCCAAGGCGAGGUACAUCUUCAACUUAAUCCACAACUCACUCUGAAUGUCCACUCCAAAAUGCUCACGCUCACUCACACACAUCCACAGAAAUCCAGACGGCAGGGAAUCUAGAAGUCCUGUACACAGAGAAAAACAAUGUUAGGAGGAAACUCUAGGUGAUCACAAGGAAUACUUCCAAAGGCUAGGCUGACGCUAGGUAAUGUGACAAUCCAGCGAGGAAGCAGCCUCUCUUGCCAUCUUAAGUAGUCUGCCAGGAUCAGUGUGAAUGAGCCACAGGUGCGUGUUCAGGGCGGGUUCAGAGGCGGGGAAUCAAGGUCCAGUUCCGCCCUGGUGGGAGAGGCGAAGACAAAAAACACACACACCACGACCUCUCCAGAUCUUGAGAACCAUGACACAAACAGAAGAAGCUAGAUCUUUUUUUUUUUACAAGAAACCCAUAGUGAUAAUGUUAUUGAAACAGAAUGGGGGUUAGGCUGGAUGGGGCAAUGCAUAUUUAGUCAUGGAAUUAAUUGCUGUGCAGUGGUCGGUAUCUUAUUUUCGCCAACUCUGUACAUCCAAAUUUUGGGAAGUGUUGAAUAUAUUAAUGGCAGGAUUUUACAAGUAAGGGCAGAAAUUCAGGGUGUUGUCAUUCAUUUUAUUAAUGUGUAUUAAGAAAUAAUCCAAUGAGUAGAUAGUUUACCUGGGUCAGAAUAGCUGAAGGUAGAUGCCACGCAGCCAGGUUAGACAGGUUUUAUCUGUCUGGAUCUUGUAGCACUCAUGUCGUGAAUUGUGGGUUUACAGAUCACCACAUGAUUUUAAUGGAUUCGGUUCUUACUUUUACAGGGACACAGAUAUCUUUUUGGCAUUUUAACACUAAACUGUUUAAUUUUUGUGAAAAUUUUAAAUUGUUUUGGGCUUUCUGGAGAUCAAAGAAGCAUGAGUUUCAAUCUCUGAUUGGGUGGUGGGAGGUAGGGAAAGCUGAAAUCAGGAGUUUCUGCCAGCAAUAUACUUAUAAAUCCACUGACAACAUUAGGAGGGUGAUUUGGCAACUAAACUCUCUCUGCUGCCUAUAAAGGGGGACCUUGCCUUGUUACAAAAUCUGGAGACCAGUGACUCUUUUAUGUACAGACUAUAACAUUCUUUCAAAGGUGUUAUCCAAUAGACUGAAAAAUUUUAUUGACCUCCCCAUUUCCAGUGGAUCAGUCAUACUGUGUUCCAGACAGAUCUGUUAGACAACUUAUUUCUUAUGAGAGAUGAUUUUGCUGUCUGUGAGACAUACAGUAUGACCUAAACGUGGGGAUUAUCUCUAUUGAUCAGGAGAAGGUUUUUGAUCUUGUAGAUCAUACUUUUCUUUUUUCAACCUUGCAAGCAUUUGGUGUGGGAAAUGUUUUUCUUUCUUGGGUGAAAUUACUUUAUGCCUAUGCUAGUUGUGUAGUGAAGGUGGCAGGUGGGUUGAGUAACCCUGUAUCAGUUCAUUAGGCAGGGUUGUCCCAUUUCAGGUCAGCUGUAUUGUUUAGCAACUGAACCUCUUUUAUUUAGAUUGAGAGCAAAAUUAAAAGGUCUUACCCUACUGGGUAUGGGUCACAGUUCUUCGGUAGUUGUUUCUGCUUAUGCUGAUGAUGUUAAUAUCUUUAUUAGUAAUCAACAUGAUGUGAAUGAACUGAGUGAAAGUUUAACUAUGUAUGAAAAGGCUUCUUUGGCCAAAGUUAUCUGGGACAAAAGCGAGGCCUUAUUGGUGGGUAAAUGAUGCGUAGAGAACAGUCCAACCCUGCCAGGAAAUUUGUGCUGAGGAAGGAAUGGUAUUAAGACACUGGGACUUUUUAUAGGUAAUGAAAAAUUUCAGAAAAAGAAGUGGGAGGGCAUACGGGAAGAAGUUAAGUCAAAGUUGUCUAAUUGGACAUGGUUGCUACCCCAGCUGUGAUAUAGGCGUAGGGCUCUGAAUGCCAGUAAUCUGUUUGCCUCGUCCCUGUGGCACAAGCUUGUGGUGUUGGUUCCACCUGCUAGGCUGGUUAAAGAUGUUCAGUGUUUCAUUGUGGAUUUUUUCUGGUCUGGGCAGCAUUGGCUUUAUUUGGGGCCAUUUAUGUUGUCUGUUGACACUUGUGAAACCACCUUGUAACCCGGUAAAGGACCAGGGCGCCUGACUGCAGCUUCAUAGAAAAUGAGCAAUCAGAAGUAGUUUCGACUAUGGAGCCUGAGUGUGUGAAUAAAACACAGGAAACCAAAAUAGAGCUCAAAAUAUAUAUAUUAUGUUUGUUAUGAGAAAUAUAUAGACAGAUGUACAAAAAAAUAAAAAAAAAUACCAGAGAGUACCAACAAUUUUAAUCACUGAAUCUAGUUCCAUUAAAAGAGGGGGAGUAGAAGGAGCACAUGUGGCGUGCUCAAACACAGCUGAAUCAAAUGCUUGAAUUACCUUUUCAGCAUGGCAUCAAGUUUGGCAAAGGCCUGAUAACCCGCCAUUCAUUUGAUUCAGCUGUGUUCCAGCAAGGAUGCAUCUAAAAGCUAAAGAAAAGUAGCUCUUCAGGACUGGAGUUGGAAGCCUCUGUGCUAUGCUAUGUACAGAUAGGGAGUCGCCCUCGGUGAUCGGGGGCCGUUAUAGUAUUCGACUGACUCACUCGGCGCUUGUACUACAGGGUUCAUGGUCUACGUUUUUGGGGAGCAGGUCCUGACUGUCAUCUGUUAUUGGACACAGUUCAGAGAAUCUGGCCAUCCAAAAAACAUAGCAGAGGAUGGUUUCGAUCUAUUGACCUCUUGGUUAUGCGCCCAGCAUGCUUCCGCUGCGCCACUCUGCUGCUGGACUGCACCCUAAAUGGGACUCGAAUCCACAAUCCCUGGCUUAGGAGGCCAGUGCCUUAUCCAUUAGGCCACCAGGGCUGAUGAGUGCUUGUCUUCCUUUCUUUGGAGGUUGUUUCGGGUGUUCGAGUGAAAGCCAUGGUUUCAAGCUGAGUGUAGGUUUCCUUCGAAUGGAGCCUUAGCUUGACGCUCCGCUUAGUCCCUCUUUCCAUAUCCAAAAAACCAAAAAACAAAACAACAGUCCUUGAUAGUUUCUCAAUAUUUACUUCAAAAGUCCAAACAGGUACACAGCAACAGAAUUCCAAAUUACGAAAACUUAUAAAGCUCAAUUCAAAAUGGAUGAAGAGAGAUUGCGAGGUCAAAAAACCAUGUGGCUCCACUCUCCUCUCGCCCAACUUCCUGUUUUUUCUGCACUAUCAAAAUAAAAGCAUACAUUUCAAAUUAAACUGCAUGUAGGCUUCUACACUGAGUUUUAAUUCAAAGAUGAAGCUGUAUUUAAAAACAUUUGAGAAAUGCUGAGAAAAUAAAUUACACUCUGUACACACUCUGGGCAACUGACUGUCCAGAACUUGGCAUUUGUAUUGUCUGUUGAGACAAACCACAUGAAGACCAGAGAAUACCAAUGAUUCGGAUCACUGAAUCUAGUUUCAUUAUCUGCAUCUGUUCUCUUUCUUCCCAUGUCAGAGGGAGGUCAAGGACUUGUGGAUAUAAUGGCUAUCAUGACCACUGCCUUCAGGUUACAAAUCACUCUUAAGAUGCUUUAUGGACGUAGCUACUGAUGGCUUCUCUUGGCUCGGCUGCUUCUCCAGAAAGCUAGAUAUCCUGGACUGGAUAAGCAUCUGUUUUUGCUUAAAACAGCAGAGCUUGAUAUGAUGGGUUUACCACCUUUUUAUCAUUCAGUGUUGGAUGCUUGGAAAACGCUGAUGAUUUUCUGUGAUCCUGACCUAGACCUGGCCUGUGGCUUUUUGAGGAACCAUUGUUUCACAAUGACUUUUUUGUAUGGGAUUGUUUGCUGUUAUUACCUACAAUAAGGACCAAGUUCAUUCAAGCUGGGAUUUUGAAACUGGGUCACCUCGCAAGACUAUCGAUAGGAAGGAUAUUCGAUCUCACUAACAUUAAGUCCACCAGAAUCUUAAAGAGGAUCCUGGAAGAGGUCUGGGAGUCCUUACCCGUGUCACUGAAAGUAUUUGCUGAAAACUGCGAUCUAGCGGACCAGUGGCAUAAUGAAUAUGAGCACGUAUUUCCAGUACUUUCAGCUGCAUCAGCUUUUGAUGGCUGGCAUGAGGAGAAUGAACUGCUGAACUGUUGGGUAUUCUCAGUUCAUGUGGGAAGAAGCACUUGUAUCAAAGUUGUGUCCAGGUGCUGAACUUGUGCUCUCUAGCAGGGGUCAGGGAGUCAAGGUGGACACAGAUUUUUGAUUCAGACCUUGCCCCAAAGGGCAGAUGGAGGGUCCUGUAUAAGCCACCUGUUGAGAAGCAGGUUGGUGACCUCCAGUGUAGGAAUAUACAUGGAUUGAUAGCUAUGAACAGACACAGAGCUCACUUUGACCCGACUACAAGGGGUGCUUUUUUUUUUUUUUUGUGAAAAACAGGAGUCGCUGGAACACUUGUUUUUGUCCUGUGUGAGGUUAAAAAGCCUGUUUAGUUUAUUGCAGGAAUGGGUGGAAGCCCUCGGUGAGCGUUUUUUUAUGGCUGUUUUUGUUUUUAGUCUUAAGUACAGAGCUUUGAAAAAGAAGACUCAUGUCUUAAUUAAUUUCCUUCUUGGAAUGGCUGAGUUAGCAAUUUGGAAAACAAGGAAGAAUAAAAUGCUUUGACAGGGUAGGAAUGAUGCAGCACUUAGUUUUAAGGGGUUAGUCGCAUCGAGAUUGAAAGUGGAGCAUGCUUUUUAUAGAGUUACUUGUAAUCUACAGAUGUUUACAGAUUUGUGGUGUAUUCGAAAUUUUUAUGUUCAUUGAGGAAGGAUGGUGCACUUGUUUUGCAUUUUUAGAGUAUUAUAAUUAUUAUUAUUAUUAUUAUUAUUGUAUUUGUUUUGAUAACUACACGUUCAUCGAAGUGUGUGGGGUUUUUGGGUGGUGUUUUUGUGAUUUUUCCUUUGACUUUGUGAGUGUUUGUAUUAUUGAAUUGUGAUUUGAAUAAAUGCGUUUGUUAAAGGUCUUUCUUUCUGUCUUUCUUUGUCUUUCUAAGGAUGACCUUUGAAAACAUAAAUCUAACCAUAAAUCGUCGGAGAGUCAUUUUUAAUGAAUUGCAUAUUUGAUUGCAAUCAGUAUUUUGAGUUGUGUUGCAAUCAUGUUAUUGCUUUGUGUCAUUGUGUUAUAAAUUUUGCUUGUGCAACAAAUAACUCUCUGCUUACCCCCCGUCUCACACAUAAACACCCAGAGUGUCACCAGCAGGCUGCAGGAUGCCAGCUUCUACAACAAAUCAGCUUCAUGCACAGACACACACACACACACACACAUGUGCGUGUAUGUUUGUGUGCUGGUGAAUGUUCUUAAGCACUGAGAGUAUUAGAGGCAGAUGUAAGGGAUGCUAAUGAACUUAUGGCCACUGUAAGGCCUGGCUUGGAUGGUCCUAGCAUACAUACAUUGUGUGUGUCUGUGUGUGUACUUCCCUGCACGUUUGAGCACCCUGAUAUUCUUUUUAUCAAGCCAAGUGAGAAGUGAGCAAGUCAAGGUUAAAUACAGGAGCACAGGAAGGGGCUGUGCAUUUUAAUUAAGCUUGAGGAAACACUCUGCAAUUCCCCUAAAUGCCCCUUGUGAUGUAUGACAGGAACCGGUGUUGUCUAUUUUUCUUCUGAAGAGGAACUUUUGUGUACUUGGACACAGAGGCUGGGCCAAAGUGCCUGUUCUUUUGAGCUUUAUUGACUUCUGGCACUGCGAGCUGAGGCAGUGUGAUAGAGGAAAAAAUAAGGUUCCGGGUAUCCAGCUCAAAUACAUCUGCUAUGCACUUUCUGUGUGUGGGUGUGCAUUUGUACUGGUGUAUAUUUGCACAGUAUUUCACCAUCAGAGAUGGGCAAUAACACGUAAUCUGAUUAGUUUUUUCAAGUAAUGAAUAAAGUAAGGGAUUACUAUUGCAAAAAUAAAGUAAUUAGAUACUGUUACUUUCCAGUAAGCACACUGAGUUGCUGUGUUACUAAACUGUGAUUUUGUUUGUGGGAGUGUCACAUGACAUUCAAUUCAAUUCAAAUCAAAUUCUUUAUUGUCCCAAAAAGGAAAUUAGUUUAGCAACAGGAUAAAAGUAAGCAAAACAAUAAUAUAAAAUGACAAUAAUAGUAAUAGAAAAUCCCAGAACGGUUCUAUGCCAUUUAGGAGACAGGAUGCAGUAGGGAUAAAAGAAACCUGGAGUCUUUUGGUCUUCCUCAGAGCUACUCACUGUACCAACUCAAACUCACUGUGAAGUGGAUGGUUGGAAUAAUUAACAAUAGAAUGAGCCUUUCUAAGCACAUUUUUAUUGUAAAUGGCCAAAAGUCCAUCUUGCCAGCGCCCUGAAAUUUUGCUAGCAGUUUUUUCAAAAGACCCAACCGAUUCUUAUUCUUCACUGUCAGGUUACCAAACCAGGCAGCGAUACAAAAAGACAUCACAGAUUCGAUAAAACGUCUAUAAAACAACGACAACAUCUCAGAUGAGACAUUAAAAGAUUUCAUUUUCCUUAAAAUGAACAGUCUUGGUUGAACUUUUUUAAUAGUGGCAUCAGCAUGAGAUUCAAAACAGUUUAUGAUCAAGUACCACACCUAGAUAUUUGUAACUCUCAGCAAUCCCGAUUUCAGCAGCUUGAAUGAUAGUAGGUGAUGAGCUAUAACAUGACUUCCUAAAAUCAAUAAUCAUGUUUUUAGUUUUUGAAACAUUUAGUGAAAGGAAGGACUGAUCACACUAAUCCACAUCAUCUGGGGGACGAGUCAGUCAGUGACUGACGAUCACUGUGUCGUGAUCCAGUAGAGGAGGAGAGCACAUCAGGAAUCACAUGAUUCACCCUCACACAUUGUGACCUAUUGAUCAGAAAGUCUGUCACCCAGCCGACCAGACUAGUGUCAAGCUUGAAAUGAUUGUAGAGCCUGUCAGCAAGUAAGAAGGGUUGAAUUGUAUUGAAUGCCGAUGGAAAGUCAGCAAAUAAUAAUCUUGCAUGGGUGUGGGGGGCCUCAAGAUGCUUAUACAAGAGAUGCAGGAGUGAGACAACAGCAUCCUCCACACCUCUCCCUGCUCUACAGGUGAAUUGGAAGGGGUCAAGAUGGUGUUCAACAUGCAUUAAAAUCUCCUUUUUAAUUAUCUUCUCAAAUGACUUCAUCACUAAAGAAGUCAGAGCCACAGGCCUAAAAUCAUUCAGUGCCUUAGGAGAACUGCCCUUAGCAACAGGAACAAUGACAGCAUAUUUCCAAAUCUUAGGUACAGUCUGUAGCUCUAAAGAAAGUGAGAAAAUGUGAUGAAAACUCCCACUCAGCUGAUCAGCACAGGUUCUCAGUACCUGUCCACAGACAUUGUCAGGUCCAGGACUCUUGCUUUUCGUGUGUCUAAAGAGAUUAGCUACCCCCCUCUCAUUAAUAUAAAAUAACUGGGGAGUGAUAGUCUUUUCCCUCAGUGUGCUGGUCUGCCUAGAACAGUCGAGAUUCUCAAAACGCAGGUAAAAACUGUUAAGACUGUCUGCCAGAUGUUUGUCAGAGGUAAACCGCUCUAGAGUAAUAUUACUUUUACCUUAAGUCUGUAGCCCUGUCAUUGUUUUCACACCAGCCAAUCUCUUUUGAAGUUGUUACUGCUGAGUUCUGCCUCAAUCUUAUUUCUGUACCUCAUCUUGGCGAUCUUUAUUGCAGCCCUCACCUCCUUCCUCAAUAUUCUCAUAGUGGGAACGUCGCCCUUGUUAAAAGCAAUUUUCCCUUUAAGAAUCAGAUCCUUAAUAUCUUUAGAGAGCCACAGUUUGUUAUUAGGGAAAGUCUUAAAUUCUCUGACUGGAACCACAGAGUCUUUGCAAAAAGAGAUGUAGCUACACACCACAUCAGUGAGUUCAUCCAAAUCAGAAGUGCUCUCUUGAAAGAAGGAUCAGUCAGUGCAAUCAAAACACCCCUGAAAGGCAACACAACUGUCUUCUGUCCAGACAUUAGUCUGCUUCACACAGGCCUUCUCCCUCCUAAUCACAGAUCUGUAAGCAGGGAGGAGGUGAACAACAUUGUGAUCUGAAGAACCUAGCGCAGGUCCGGCCACAGACUUGUAUGCCCCCUUAAUUGGUCCAUAACACAAAUCCAGCGUUUUAUUAUGCCUUGAAGGACAAGUGACAUAUUGUAAGAAAUUGUUCAGUGAUUUCUUAAGAUUACAAUUGUUAAAAUCACCAAGAGUAAAAUUAGGAGCAUCUGGAGAGAGUUUGCAGAUUGUGGCGUUGGCAGCAACUUUAACGUCUGCUUUAGGAUGAAUGUAAACAACAGUGACAAAAAUUUGAGGGAAUUCCCUCGGUAAGUAAAAGGCCUGACAGAUACUGAAAGGAGCUCGAUGUCGGGAAGACACAACUGCUCCCGCACAGUAAAAUUAUUACACCAGCCCUGGUUGAUAUACAAACAUACCCCUCCUCUGUGAGAUUUGCGUGUUACUCCAGUUCUAAUCCAAUCUGACAGGGGUCCCAAAGCCGCUGAUUCGCAGUGAAGUGUCACUGUCCAUAUCGGUCAGCAACGUCUCAGUAAGCGCCAUCAGGCAAGCCUCCCUGCAUUCCCGUAGAUCAGGGGUCCCCAAUCCCAGUCCACG